GAUGAACGCUGACAGAAUGCUUAACACAUGCAAGUCUUUGGCGAAGCUGUGCUUGCACAGCCUAGCCAAGGCGGACGGGUGAGUAACGCGUAAGGAACUUGCCCUGCAGUCAGGGAUAACAGACGGAAACGACUGAGAAGACCUGGUAAAGUCAGGCGGACUCAUGUCCAGCCUGAUGAAAAGAGAUGCUGCAGGAGAGCCUUGCGUCCUAUUAGCUUGUUGGUGGGGUAACGGCCCACCAAGGCGAUGAUAGGUAGCCGGCCUGAGAGGGUGGACGGCCACAAGGGGACUGAGAUACGGCCCUUACUCCUGCGGGAGGCAGCAGUGGGGAAUAUUGGACAAUGGGGGCAACCAUGAUCCAGCAAUUCUGUGUGCACGAUGAAGGUUUUCGGAUUGUAAAGUGCUUUCAGCAGGGAAGAAAAAAUGACGGUACCUGCAGAAGAAGCGACGGCUAAAUACGUG
rnacentral:rRNA from 1 species